CGGUGGAUGCCUUGGCACUAGGAGCCGAUGAAGGACGGAACUAAUACCGAUAUCUUCGGGGAGCUAUAAGUAAGCUGAUCCGUA
rnacentral:rRNA from 1 species